UACGGAGGAUCCAAGCGUUAUCCGGAAUCAUUGGGUUUAAAGGGUCCGUAGGCGGUUUGGUAAGUCAGUGGUAAAAGCCCAUCGCUCAACGGUGGAACGGCCAUUGAUACUGCCAGACUUGAAUUAUUAGGAAGUAACUAGAAUAUGUAGUGUAGCGGUGAAAUGCUUAGAGAUUACAUGGAAUACCAAUUGCGAAGGCAGGUUACUACUAAUGGAUUGACGCUGAUGGACGAAAGCGUGGGUAGCGAACAGG
rnacentral:rRNA from 1 species